rnacentral:lncRNA from 1 species
AAUGAUAAAGCAAAAGGGUAGCUAUCCUAAGGAAAUAAGAAAACAGACACGGGAUUUGGUACUUUGGUUAUUUGGUAGGGCACACUUUCCCUCAAAUACCCACAAAUUUUGCCCUUCUCCUAACUAUUCUUCAUUUCUUCCUUUUUGUUGUGUUGUUAACUUGUUAUGCGCUUUUCUUUAAUUGUUUUUGGCUGCUUCUUGGGUCCGAGUCCGACACUGACUAGCGACUAGCUAGUAAUAAUAAUUAAUAAUGCUUAUGCAAGGAGGACAAUUUGGAAAGAGAGAAUGGCUCUUUUACUCAAAUGAAAUAAAAUCUGUAGCCAUCACUUUCACACUUCACUAACCCCACUUUAAUUCAAAUCAAAAGCCUCUUAUUAUUAUUAUUUCUAUUCAUUCUUGUGCUCCCCCCUUGUCAUUCUCAAG